rnacentral:rRNA from 1 species
ACUGGGACUGAGACACGGCCCAGACUCCUACGGGAGGCAGCAGUGGGGAAUAUUGCACAAUGGGCGCAAGCCUGAUGCAGCGACGCCGCGUGAGGGAUGACGGCCUUCGGGUUGUAAACCUCUUUCAGUAGGGAAGAAGCGAAAGUGACGGUACCUGCAGAAGAAGCGCCGGCUAACUACGUGCCAGCAGCCGCGGUAAUACGUAGGGCGCAAGCGUUAUCCGGGAAUUAUUGGGCGUAAAGAGCUCGUAGGCGGUUUGUCGCGUCUGCCGUGAAAGUCCGGGGCUCAACUCCGGAUCUGCGGUGGGUACGGGCAGACUAGAGUGAUGUAGGGGAGACUGGAAUUCCUGGUGUAGCGGUGAAAUGCGCAGAUAUCAGGAGGAACACCGAUGGCGAAGGCAGGUCUCUGGGCAUUAACUGACGCUGAGGAGCGAAAGCAUGGGGAGCGAACAGGAUUAGAUACCCUGGUAGUCCAUGCCGUAAACGUUGGGCACUAGGUGUGGGGGACAUUCCACGUUUUCCGCGCCGUAGCUAACGCAUUAAGUGCCCCGCCUGGGGAGUACGGCCGCAAGGCUAAAACUCAAAGGAAUUGACGGGGGCCCGCACAAGCGGCGGAGCAUGCGGAUUAAUUCGAUGCAACGCGAAGAACCUUACCAAGGCUUGACAUGGACCGGUAACACCUGGAAACAGGUGCCCCGCUUGCGGCCGGUUCACAGGUGGUGCAUGGUUGUCGUCAGCUCGUGUCGUGAGAUGUUGGGUUAAGUCCCGCAACGAGCGCAACCCUCGUUCCAUGUUGCCAGCGCGUAAUGGCGGGGACUCAUGGGAGACUGCCGGGGUCAACUCGGAGGAAGGUGGGGACGACGUCAAAUCAUCAUGCCCCUUAUGUCUUGGGCUUCACGCAUGCUACAAUGGCCGGUACAAAGGGUUGCGAUACUGUGAGGUGGAGCUAAUCCCAAAAAGCCCGGUCUCAGUUCGGAUUGGGGUCUGCAACUCGACCCCAUGAAGUCGGAGUCGCUAGUAAUCGCAGAUCAGCAACGCUGCGGUGAAUACGUUCCCGGGCCUUGUACACACCGCCCGUCAAGUCACGAAAGUUGGUAACACCCGAAGCCGGUGGCCUAACCCCUUGUGGGAGGGAGCUGUCGAAGGUGGGACUGGCGAUUGGGACUAAGUCGUAACAAGGUAGCCGUACCGGAAGGUGCGGCUGG